AGCGUCUGGGGACAGCGUGUUGGGCUGUGGGGAGGUUACCGAAAGGAAACGGGCCGAGUCCAGUUGUUUGAGCGGUUUUCUCCUUCCACGAGCGUGUGUGAAAAAGCGCGGAGUUCGGUGGAGGGCAGCUGCCAGGACUGCCUCCUGGACUGGGUGCGGUAAGGCCUUAGGGAUGCAUUCAGAUGUAGGGUGCCUUAUUUUGGGCCGAGAAAGCUGUCAAGUGAAAGAUCCAAGGGGAAAGGUGGGCCUGGAUUUUUUUGUUGUUGUUUGCGGUGGGUUUUUUGUUUGUUUUGAGGUCAAGUGCAGAAGCAGCGGAAGCUUCAACUGUAACCCUCCAGAAGGCAGGGAUCAUGCUGUUUCCCUCAUCCUUGUCUCUGAUCUUGGUGACACAUGUAGGUGAUUUCUGAUAGGAAUACCCAGUUCUGCAGUAAAUAGCAGACACAGCCCUUGGUCUUUUUCUAUUAAAUUCUUAGAAUAUAUUUCUGAAUUGGGAGAUUUAAAGGCUAAACAGAUUCCGACCUCCUUUUCCCCCACCUCAAAAACAGAACUUUAAAAAGGAGUGGGGGAGGUGUUUAUAAAAUCCCAGGACAAACAGUUCCAGCAGCGAACACACAUCGUCUUCAUUCUGAAAAAACCUGGUGCGGCGUGAGUUCCAAACGUAAUUGUACAUUUUUUCAUCCUACAUCUCAAGAGACCAAGGGACCUAAGUAAAUUGAUCUACUUGCCAAUGACUGUAAGAAAGACAAAGAAGUUGUAAAAACAUCCAAAUGAUGUUAAACAUAAAUUAGCUCAGAAUAGUUUGCAGAAGAUAAACUACCAGCGUCAAAGCAUGCAUUAAAAACUGGAAAGAAAUUAAAAGUGUGGUAUUGAAAGAUGUACAACUGACUUUGGAAAAAGGAUUCCUCUCUAAUUGGUGUUUGUAAGUGAUCGAAAUAAACAUUUUUAAACU
rnacentral:lncRNA from 1 species